rnacentral:snRNA from 1 species
AACAAAAGGGUAAAAGCUC